UACGGGGGGGGCAAGCGUUGUUCGGAAUUACUGGGCGUAAAGGGCUCGUAGGCGGCCAACUAAGUCAGACGUGAAAUCCCUCGGCUUAACCGGGGAACUGCGUCUGAUACUGGAUGGCUUGAGAUUGGGAGAGGGAUGCGGAAUUCCAGGUGUAGCGGUGAAAUGCGUAGAUAUCUGGAGGAACACCGGUGGCGAAGGCGGCGACCUGGUUCGAUACUGACACUGAGGUGCGAAAGCGUGGGGAGCAAACAGG
rnacentral:rRNA from 1 species